rnacentral:rRNA from 1 species
GUCCAGCACGCUCGUCGGCGGCGGUUCAGAUUCGGGCACUUAUCCGACCCGUCUUGAAACACGGACCAAGGAGUCUAGCGUGUGCGCGAGUCAUUGGGUGUAAAACCUAAAGGCGUAAUGAAAGUGUCAGAGGGCGCCCCGCGCCCUCGGUGGGAGGAUGAGCUCCCGGCCCACCGGCCGGUGCUCCGCACUCCCGGGGCGUUUCAUUCUCAUUGCGAGUCGAGACGCACCAGGAGCGCACACGCUGGUACCCGAAAGAUGGUGAACUAUGCCUGGCCAGGACGAAGCCAGGGGAAACCCUGGUGGAGGUCCGAAGCGAUUCUGACGUGCAAAUCGAUCGUCUGAGCUGGGUAUAGGGGCGAAAGACCAAUCGAACCAUCUAGUAGCUGGUUCCCUCCGAAGUUUCCCUCAGGAUAGCUGGCUCUCGGGAAGAGACGAGUCUCAUCCGGUAGAGCGAAUGAUUAGAGGUGAUGGGGUCGAAACGACUUCAACCUAUUCUCAAACUCCCAAUAGAUGAGAGCCCCGGCUUGCUUGAAAGUGAAGCCGCGGGACUCGGAUCAGAGGUGCCAAGUGGGCCAAUUUUGGUAAGCAGAACUGGCGCUGUGGGAUGAACCAAACGCAGAGUUAAGGCGCCCGAUUCGACGCUCAUCCGAAACCAUGAAAGGCGUUGGUUGCUUAAGACAGCAGGACGGUGGCCAUGGAAGUCGGAAUCCGCUAAGGAGUGUGUAACAACUCACCUGCCGAAGCAACUAGCCCUGAAAAUGGAUGGCGCUGUAGCGUCGUGCCUAUACUCUGCCGUCAACGGCAAAGCG